UACAGAGGUCUCAAGCGUUGUUCGGAAUCACUGGGCGUAAAGGGUGCGUAGGCGGCAUGGAAUGUCAGAUGUGAAAUCCGGGGGCUCAACCCCCGAAAUGCAUCCGAAACUUCCGUGCUCGAGAUUUGUAGAGGGGUCUGGAAUUCUCGGUGUAGCAGUGAAAUGCGUAGAUAUCGAGAAGAACGCUCGUGGCGAAGGCGAGACCCUGGGCAACAUCUGACGCUGAGGCACGAAGGCUAGGGGAGCAAACGGG
rnacentral:rRNA from 1 species